AGGAUUUCUUUCUUACUUGAAAGGAAUUUUUUUUCUAGAAACCUCCCAGUAAACUUAGCUUUCAACUUAAUUGCAGGAAAACGGUCCCUUGGCCGUGGCUAGCUUCAUGGAAAGUUGGGAAAAUAUAUGGCAAAGCGCAGUGAAACUGACAUGAUUGGCAUCUAUCAGUCACAGUUGAUCAUGUGUGCCUGGACACAUCAUCGUCCCUAAUAAAAUAGGUGUUCUGUUAGCAGGGAAGCGGGGGCAGCUGUCAGUCGGUCAAUGACCUUUCUGUCACAGAGCCUGGAACACUUACAGAACUAUAUACGAAAAUCACAUCCAAGUAGAUAGUCAAUUGAUAAAAUCAGGAAUAACUCUUAGGCAUCUUAAGAAACAGAGAGACAAACGGAACAUUGUGGAAUCACAGAGAAGACAACAAGGAGCAGGUAACACCAUUGAAUGUAUGUUAUCAUUGCUCAGAGGCAAGAAAAGAGCAACAUUUUGAGGAGAGAAUGAGAUCAUGUCUACAGAGCAUUUUAUGUUUCUUGGAUCAAAGAUUCUUUGUAGCAUUUUAAGGACAAGAUUUCUGGAAGAAGAAGAGGAUUCACCUGAGAUGGUACCGGCCCUCCACUGAGGAUGCAGACUGGGAAAAUGAACCUGCCUGUGUGGUUGAUUGUAAACAACCCAAAGCCUUAUGUUAUUUGAUUUUUGGUUCAAACAUUUCUGUAGUUGUUCUUCAACCAUGAGGCUAUUUUCAAUUUUAAGUACAAGAGGAGAUUUGAUUUGAUAGAACCUUGACAGCACAUAUUUGGAAUAAAUACAUCUGGCAAUAACAGUACCUGUAUCUUCCUUCCAGCUUCCCAGAGACCUACUUUUAACUCUUUCUCUCCUGGCUUGUUGUGGAGCCACUCUUCUUUAAGCACAACAGAACCCAGAUAAAUCAAACAACAAUGACUUGGUGUGAUAGGGUGUUUUCAGAAACAAAAAACUAGUGUUACAGUUCUUUUAGAAAUUUUUAGCAGAUUUUCCGGUCCUCACUGGAAGCUACCCCACCCCCCACAAAAGAAAACAAAAAACUAUAGUAGAGGUUUUGUUCAAUGACUCUCUGGAUUAACCAAUGCUCACUUUCUUUGUCUUUUUUUUUGAGGCAGAGUCCCACCUG